UGACCUGAGCCGAAGGCAGUCGCUUAACCAACUGAGCCGCCCAGGAGCCCCUUGGAUUAAAGGGUUCUGAGGCUCUGUCUUUAAAGUGUCUAGUUGGGUCUUGAGUUUUUCUCCAUUCUACAACCUCUUCUUUUUAUUGGACUUUUUAGUCUAAAGAGGUCAUUUCCCUUUUUCGUGUAGCCUUUUAACUGUACUUUGGAUUUAUUUCGAGGUUGCUCUGGAGAUUACAGUAAACACAGUUUUUUACAAUCUACUUAGUGUAGCAAUAGUCAGUCUAGCACUCCACAGGCACAAUUGCAAACUUAGCCUCUAGUCCUCCCAUGGGACCACUCUCCACACCCUAUACUUUGUAGUUAGAUGUGCUGUGUCUGUGAACCUCAUGGCCGCCACCAGCGGUGUUGGGAUUGCUUGCUUAAAACAGUCAUAAUGGAAUAAAGUCCUCCAGCUCUGUGCUUGGAAUCUUUAUCCAUACUCUUUGAUGUUUUCUUUGCAUUUUUCUUGUAGAUUAGCCUACCAUGGCCGACCAGAGACAGCGCUCACUCUCUACCUCUGGGGAAUCACUAUACCAUGUUCUGGGGCUGGACAAGAAUGCAACCUCAGAUGACAUUAAAAAGUCCUAUCGGAAACUUGCCUUGAAAUAUCACCCUGACAAGAACCCCGAUAACCCAGAGGCUGCAGACAAGUUUAAGGAGAUCAACAACGCCCACGCUAUCCUGACGGACGCCACAAAAAGAAACAUCUACGACAAGUACGGCUCGCUGGGGCUCUACGUGGCCGAGCAGUUUGGGGAGGAGAACGUGAACACCUACUUCGUGCUGUCCAGCUGGUGGGCCAAGGUGCUGUUUAUCGUGUGCGGCGCGCUCAGCUGCUGCUAUUGCUGCUGCUGCCUCUGCUGCUGUUUCAACUGCUGCUGCGGCCGCUGCAAGCCGCGCGCGCCCGCCGGCCCCGACCCCGGCGUCUACGUGUCCCCCGAGGACCUGGAGGCGCAGCUGCAGUGCGACGAGCGGGGCGGGCACUGACACUGUGCGGGCGUGUCCGUGCCGGCGGCGGGGACUGCGAUGCGGACGUGGACACGCGGAGCGAGGAGCGGACGCGGCCCCGCGCGCCCGAGCAGAGGCCGCAGGCUCGCCGGUCGUCGUACAGCCAGCAUCCGCCACAGAGACCACCCAGCUCACGGCCGACUCCCACCCCAGCUACCACACCGACGGGUUCAACUAAAUCCAGGAGCAGCUGCGACGGAGGACAGCUCGGCGCCCGGCCACUUCACCCUUAGAACCGCGGAGCGUAGUCCCAGAGAUGGGGGGGGGCAGCUGCCGGCCCGCCGGGGCCCUUCCCACCUCUGCGCCCGCCCACCGUCGCCCCCGCCACGGGAAGUGCGUCGCAUGCAGUAUUUAAAGCAGUUAGCUUCGGUCUUCUUUUCCCUCUUCUUCUGUUUUCUCCUUUUUUAAUAGCAUGUAUGGGGUUAUGUUCCAUGUCUGUCUGUGUUGUGGACGUGCGGUGGCCUGACCGCGUUAACCAGACAGCCGAGCCUCCUGGGGGCUUUCCACUCGCUGCUCCGACCUCGGCUACGUGGUGCCUCCCAGCCAGGCGGGCUGGGGCAGGAGUGGGGGCUCCUUUCCCCUGUGCUGGUGGGGGCCGGAGGCAGGUGCUGCCCGGCGGGAGCUGUGGGGUGUGACGCCACCCCAUGUUCUCCAGCUGUGUGCACACGGGCAGAGCCUCUGGACACGUUGCCAGGAAGGAGCUGCUACACCCUCCCUUUGCCCGGUCCCCUCAGCAUUUCCGUGGUGUUGGUUUGUGCGGGUGUGUUUGCCGUGGUUGCUUGGCCUUGUGGCCGGGUUUUUCCCCUGGGUAGGUUUGUUGUGGAAAGUGUGGGAGGCGCUGCUGACCCCAAGACCACGUUUUCUACCUGGGUGCAGCCUCGCUCUCCAUGUCACAUGGUCCUGUGAGCAUGCCCCCUCGCCAGGCUGUGGGAGGUGGUUCUUCCACGCUCCCACACGUCCCCAGGCCACAAGCUGGAUUGAUGGGGCCACAUUCCUCCACCUCCUCUCCCCUUCAGGCACCCUCCACAUUCCUUCAGGCCCCCCCUGGCCUUCUGGUGGUCCUUUCUGGACCUCUAAGCACCACAAAUGGUAGCAGUGGCCCAAUGUGCUGUUGUUAGAGGGGCUGACUGUCCAGGUUGCCAGUGGAGCGUGGCUGAGCAGCCCUGGGAAGCACACGUGGGGAGCACAGCCCCCUUCUCUGUGCUGUCCAGGGCUCCUGCCCACCCCACUGUCCAUCGCCUGUGCCCUUCAGUCACCGUUGAUGGUUCAGGCAGAGCUAGAGACGCCAGGUUCCUGGAGGGAGGACCAGCUGGACCAAAGGCACAGCCUGGUGCCCUUGGCUUGUGAGCCUGCAGCCUGACCGUGGAGCCCCCCACUCACCGUUGUCUUGAGCAGCACCUUCUGUGAACUGUUGGAAGUCAAGUCUUUCUUGUUUGUGUCCCAGAACUUGUGGGUGGUGGCCCUGCUACGGGAGACAAGGAAACGGGUUAUGAUGUGCCCGCGCUGGCCCAGAGUUCACGGUGGCCCCCACACCCCCAGCAGCCCUGGAUGUGCUGUGGCUCCCUGCUGGACCUGCACUGGUCACCGGAGACCCAAGUGGUUUCCGCGGAGGGAAGCAGCAUUCCGCUGCUGAAUGUCUCCUGCGUGUCCAGUAGGUGAAGAACAAGGAGGCGAUGUCGGCCUAGACGUACCAGAACAUGUUCCUGAUGCCCACGGUUUCCACCACCACCUGCCCCCCACCCCGCGCACCUGCUGGGCCUCGGCCCUUGUCUGCCCACCCACAGCUGUGCCGAGAGCAGGUUCUUGUUGGCCUGAAAGGGGCCGGAGGGGCAGCAGUGUCCGUGCAGAACGUGGACAGGCUCUGAGUGCAGUGCUGGCUGAGGCCUGCUCUGGCCAGGCUGGUGCAGUCGCAGGCGCUCCCAGGUCCUUGGGCAGGUGUUUGGUCCCCCCCCCCUUUUUUUUUUUUUUGGUUUUUGGUUUUCAUUAAAAUGAUCAUGAAGACAUUCAGUGAGAGGAAAAAUAUGCACUGUGAUCUUAAAUUAGAAAUAAUUUGCUAAAAUCAGACAUCAUGAAAGGUUAAGAAAUCCAUUGACACCACCCCCUCCAGGCACAAGGGAGAGGUUAGACCACAGGGCCGACUUCUGUGCCAUCCCAACACAGCAACGGGAACGCAGCCUUUGUGAUGUUCCUGAAAAUUACCUUCUGAGCUGUUUUUCGCUGGAAUGGUCAAGAACCAAGUUCAAAGCUGGGACUUCAGGUAGCAAGCCUCCCCCUCUGUGGGGACUACUGCAGCUCCGUGGUCAGGAAACCUCAAGGCCCACCACACAUGUCCAAGCAAGUCCUUGAUGGGCGUCUUCCACUUGACAGAACGUGAAGCUCCGCUGGGGACCAGGGUGCUGGGAGAGGGGCAGGUCUGGAAGGUGGUUGAACCCAGGCUCCUGUAGAAUUUGUAAAAACUAAAUAAAUCAUGACAGUGAUGAUAAUCCUUAAGAUGGUGGUAAUGAUUGCCUAAGGCCCAGGGACCCCAGGAUCCAGACGGGGGCCUAGAACUCUCCCUGCCUGGCCCCGAAGGCAUUUCCACCUGGUGGUUCCCAAGCGGAGCCCCUUCCAAAGGCGGCUGUACUCAACUGUCCGUCCUGGUUGCGUUUCCCUUUUUCUUGAGUGGCCUGUGUAUUUCCCUGGUGAGCAGAGUUGCUGAGUCUGGAGUCAUGCCCCGUUCACCGGCCAUGUGGGGGUGGCCCCCCUGUCCACCGUGCAGCAGUGAGAGCACCCGGGCCCUCCCUCAGGCUGCCCGGAGGUGGGGCCAUGUGCGGCCAGGGAGUGCUGAAGCCCGUCCCUUGUCACAAAGUGCGGGGCUCGCCCCGGGGGGCCCCAGAGCAGCCGGUGGCCGGCAGGAAGCACGGGAGGGCCCUGCGGGGUGUCUGCUGCCGUGUACAUUUCUGUUCCUGCUCAGUGAUGUGGUUGGUCUUCUCUCGUCUUCCCUUUGGCUUUCUUCUAUUUUCAAACUGCUUUAGAUAAUACUGCUCAGUGUGUGUGAGCCUUCCUAGUUCCCCGGUCAGUGCCGCGGGGGAAGAAGCCGCAGUGUGCUGUGCUUAGAGCAGGUGGCCUCUCCACACUUUGGGCCACCCGGCGUGGCCACGAGGCUCCUGCUCGGGGAAAGGUCGUGUCAGGACUGUCGCUGUGCGUUCUGACUGUAGGUGGGCCAAUCGGGUGAGCUCGUGCUGGUGGAGUGCCCACUGGUGCAGCUGUUGGUCUGGGGAGACACGUGGCCUCCCAGCACCUGGCCCUUGGGGUUGAGGCCGCCAGCAAGUGGGGUGGGUGCCGGCACGCCGACAGAGCUCGGGGGCCCUGCCUGUCCUUUCCUGGCUCUCAGCGUAGCCCCGCGGAGGGACGGGUGUAUGGAGAGAGCGGCUGAUCUCCUUCCUUUCUCAACAUGCUGAUCUGUGAGCCCAUGUGACACAGGACCACCCUGUUUGUUUUUGUUACUUUGGUCGUGAAUCCUCCUGUGCAAUUGGCAGAAGCUACAUUUAUACUGCCCUCGCAAGCACAGUUGGCAUUGUCUGUGCUGUAGUUGUGGGCAGUGGCUGUCCCUCUGUGUGUGUAUGUACGUACGUGUAUACCCCACAGCCGGUGUGCCUGUUGCUGUCCAGCAGUCUGCUCCAGGACAGCCUUGGGUUUCUUGGUGAGUCGGGUCGAGAACAGGGUCUUGGCGGCAGGCUCCUUUGCCAGGCGCGUAGAAGUAAAUGCUGACCCUGGUGUGCGCGUAGGAUUUGUGUGGACGGCUGGCGGUGGUGCCUGCGUGCACUGGGGUGACCGCCUGCUGCCAGCAGCACCUUCUUCGGGGAAGGGUGCCGGGGCCACCGAGGGGCGACUGUCCCAAGUGCCACGCUCGUCCCUGGGGGCCCACCCGGCAUGCUCACCUGACCUCCAGGGGGGUGUCCUUUUGUGACAUCUAGGUGGCUGGAAACCCUUCCCUCCCUUGAAACAUUAAAACCAAUUUUCUGAGCAUCAGAAAGGUCAUGACAAAGGGCAUUCUAAAGGGGACUCUGUCCUGACUGCAGGUCUGCCUUGGGAGGGGUCCAUUGGGAAGGAGGGGCCACAGAAUGCCAUCCUGCAGGAAGGGGCUGGGUUCGGGGGCCUUGUGGUAGAUUUUGUUUCCCUUGAAAAUGGGACAGUGUUUCAAGCUAAGUGAGGAGAGGCAGUUUACACUGAAAUAAAUUGUGUGUGUGUGUGUGUGUGCGCGCGCACGCGUAUACACACACACACACACAUUUUAAAAUACUAAAUGCAAAUGCAUGGCAAGCAACUGUCCGUGCGUGCUGGUUUCUGGUUUCAUCCUGUUGCUGGAAUCCCGCAGCGCUAGGUGGGUGUACCUCUGACCCCGACUCCCAUGUGCACCCCUGAGGGCCAGGCUGGAGGGUUAGGGUGGUUCCUUGGUGAUCUCCAUCUCGUAUGUCUGAAUGUUGACCUUAAGAUAAAGAUAACUGUUGUAAAAUAAAUGUUUUCACUGCAAACCA